AACGCACAUUGCGCCUUAUGGUAUUCCAUAAGGCAUGCCUGUCUGAGCGUCAGCUCCCCCCCACUCAAGCUCUUUUGCUUGGAUUAUUUUGGGCAAGCAGCUGUAAAAAGUUGCUGUCCACAAAUUCAUAGGCAGUAUGGUCAAUUCCAAGCUGAACGUAAUAAUUAAAAAAAUCACGUUUACUUUGAGAGAUAUUGUACUCGCCCUUAACCCACAAAUUUUUUAUGGGUGACCUCAGAUCAGGUAGGGAUACCCGCUGAACUUAA
rnacentral:misc_RNA from 1 species